UGAAGAAUCCCCCGUCGAUUGCAGUCUUAACCAAUCUCCGAUCUCUUUCUCCUGUCACCCCCGGCGCAUUUUAGCCCCAUCCACCUCACCACCAACAUGGACCCGGAGACGGACCCGGACCCGCCCUCCGAUCCCCUAACGAACGAGUUCGGCACCCUGGACGACCUGGCCUACGACCUGAGCUCGCUCCAGGACAUGGCGGCCCGAGGCUCGUGGCGCUCCAUCCUCGACAAGAUCGCGCGCGCGCGCUCCCUCUCGCUCCUCCGCAAGCCACACGAGCACCUCACCUACCUCUCCUUCAACGUCCUCGCGCUCGCCAAACUGCGCCGUUUCAACGACGCCUCCGCCGAGCUCGACACCCUCGAGGACCUUGACGGGUCCCACUACCAAUACCAAUCCUACCCCUCUGUCUACCCCAACCGGUCCGGUUCCAUGGUGCCCUUCUCCCUCCGGUGGCUCAUCGCGCUCAUCCCAGUCAAACUCGGUCAACGCCAGCUAGGCCUCGACCGCUUCUACAGCCUCCUCGAUUUCGUUCGCUCCAAAGUGAAAGAGAAGGAUGGCGUUUCCGUGAAUAUCUGGAAGAAGAGGGAGGGUCUUGUGAUUAACGCGAUAAUCGGGCACCAUCUGGGCAACAAAGAGUUCUCUGUAUGCUUGGAUCUGAUGCACCAUUUGCUCAUCCCCAAUUUCUCAAACCCUAUAUUGUGGUCGAAGCUCGGGUACAUUCAGAUGCAGAUCGGGGAUUUGGAGAGCGCAAAGAGCUCGUUCAAUCGCGUCGAGGCGUUGAUGAAGGAGGGCAAUGGUGAGGGGCUACUGAGCGAAAUCGAGUUCAAGAACCUGGUGGGUAGGAACAAGGCGAUGGUGUACAUGGUAGGGAAGGACUACGUGUCGGCGGUGAGGGAGUUGGAGGAGUGCAUUGAGAGGGACCCCAUGGACGUGGUGGCCAUCAACAACAAGGCGCUCUGCUUGAUGUACUUGAGGGACUUGCCGGAUUCGAUCAAGGUGCUGGAGAAUGCGCUCGAGAGGGUGCCCACUGUGGCGCUCAACGAGACGCUGGUCGUCAAUCUGUGUAGCAUGUAUGAGUUGGCUUAUGUUAAUCACUCCGAUACCAAGAGGACGCUCAGUAGUUGGAUCGCUCGGGUUGCCCCCGAUGACUUUGAUACGACCUGUACUCGGAUUUAGAGGUACUUAUUUCUCGUUUGCAUGCCUUUGCCGUUUGAGUUUGUUUAUGAGCAUGCAUUACACUCACAUUUUUUGGAUAAUUUGUAAAUAACUAUGGAAUUGGUACUAAAACCUGGGGUUCAAUGUAUUUUCUGUCGAAUCUUUCAUCCGGGUCUUUGUAUGGAAUUUCUCGUGUUACACAGCUAGAAUGGCUAAUUUCUUAAAUAUAGGAGGAUAAUAGUAGUGUUUGUCUCUUCAAGUGCUGAACUGGUUUCUAUCAGCUAGAUAUUGAUCGUAUAAUUAUUCUUGUAACGCCUUGUUUGGUCCAAAUUUCCAAAUUAUGUAUUGAACUGAUUGGUGUUUUGGUAUAUGUCAUGUUUAUAGCUUGUAGCUUGUAGCGAUGUGUGGAUAAACUUGAACUUCUGUCUUAUGUCGAUUCAAUCAAUUCUUGAGCUUUAAUUUAAUUGUCCAUAUUGGUGAUACCCUAUUAACUGCCUCUACCUGUUGAGUGGUCUUAAAAUUCGAUUGCUUUCCAUGUCUUCUUCACCGUUGGUGAGUAUGCCGAGAUCAAACUCUCUCAUGGGACCCACCUGACAUGCCUCAACUCCAGUAGGUCAUCUCCACUGUCAGCUACACCCUGCCCUGUGCCUGGUUUGGCAAUUUUCCCAAGCAAUAUCCAGAGGUUGGUGCAAUGGGUGAUGGGAGAAAUGGCAUCAUUGAGGUGGUUUGUUGGGGAGGUUGAGGUGACAGAGCUCGUUGAGCAGGGUGAGAGAGUUGAAGGGCUUAGGAGGUUGAGGAAGGGAGGGAGAGAGUAAUGAUGCAGGUUGGCAGAGCAAUGGAUACCAUGCCACAAUGCACAUAGGCCAAAAUAGAUAAGGUCGUUGGUGUAGUUCGGGAGAGAGGGAGAGGGUGAGGGAGGCCAAGGCUAAGGCUAAGGGCUAAGGCUUGUUGAUCUUAGGGGUUUUGGAUAUUGGGAAGAGUGGCUAAAAAGAAGUGUUCUUUUAAAAUUAUAUAAUUAACUUCAAACUUACGAUGGAGUGAUGGCUUACAUGGUGGGUGGUUGGCCUGGGGCAUUGUCGCUGUCAAAUGGGGAUGUGUGCAUAGAGGUUUGGUUAGCAUGAAACAUUCUUCAACCACUUGAUUGGCACAUGUAUUGGUCUUUUAAUUGGUCAUUCCACAACUCCAAAAAGAUCAAGAGUAAUCUGGUUAUUACACAGUUCCAACAAGCACGUACAACAACCAUGGUAUAAUUUCCAUCCAAAUUAAUGUUUGAUUUAGACAGUAGAGGGGCAUUGAAACAAAUUUGUCAAAUUAAGAGGCCAAGAGAUGCGACAUAAACUUUAGAAGGGGCUUGCAAAUAGAAUGGUAUUUCAAGGGGGAAUGUGUAAUUUAUACUAUUUAUUAUAUUUGUAAUUGGAUUUAUUGCAGAAGAUAGUUUCUGUAUGGAUGUCACUUUUAUCUUUGUUUUAUCUUUUCUCUUUUUUCCUCUCUGCUACAUUAGGUGUAAGGUUUAUCUUCAUGUAUAAAGAGGGAACUUUGAGUAACUUGCAAUAGGAAUCUCAUAUAUGGUUCUAGAUGCAUUUUUCUGGAAGGUAACCUCAUAGAAUUAUUCAAAUUCUUCUAAUUUUUCUC